GGACAUAUCAUAACGAAGAGGUAUCGUAAUUGAAGAGGUUUGGAAAGACCCACCACAGAAGGUAAUAGUCCUGUAUGUUAAACGAGAAGACUUUAGAUAUGAUCCAGAGUACCACGGGACACGUGAAACCCUGUGGGAAGCAGGAGGGACCACCCUCCAAGGCUAAAUACUACCUAGUGACCGAUAGCGUAUAGUACCGUGAGGGAAAGGUGAAAAGAACC
rnacentral:rRNA from 1 species